rnacentral:rRNA from 1 species
GACGAACGCUGGCGGCGUGCUUAACACAUGCAAGUCGAACGGAAAGGCCCUGCUUUUGUGGGGUGCUCGAGUGGCGAACGGGUGAGUAACACGUGAGUAACCUGCCCUUGACUUUGGGAUAACUUCAGGAAACUGGGGCUAAUACCGGAUAGGAGCUCCUGCUGCAUGGUGGGGUGUGGAAAGUUUCGGCGGUUGGGGAUGGACUCGCGGCUUAUCAGCUUGUUGGUGGGGUAGUGGCUUACCAAGGCGUUGACGGGUAGCCGGCCUGAGAGGGUGACCGGCCACAUUGGGACUGAGAUACGGCCCCGACUCCUACGGGAGGCAGCCGUGGGGAAUAUUGCACAAUGGGCGGAAGCCUGAUGCAGCAACGCCGCGUGCGGGAUGACGGCCUUUGGGUUGUAAACCGCUUUCGCCUGUGACGAAGCGUGAGUGACGGUAAUGUGUAGAGAAGCACCGGCUAACUACGUG